GUAUGGUGUAGUGGUUUGAGUGUUGGACUAGGAUUCCAGAGGCCAGGGUUCGAUUCCCAGUGAAACA